GACGAACGCUGGCGGCGUGCCUAAUACAUGCAAGUAGAACGCUGAAGAGAGGAGCUUGCUCUUCUUGGAUGAGUUGCGAACGGGUGAGUAACGCGUAGGUAACCUGCCUUGUAGCGGGGGAUAACUAUUGGAAACGAUAGCUAAUACCGCAUAACAAUGGAUGACACAUGUCAUUUAUUUGAAAGGGGCAACCGCUCCACUACAAGAUGGACCUGCGUUGUAUUAGCUAGUAGGUGAGGUAACGGCUCACCUAGGCGACGAUACAUAGCCGACCUGAGAGGGUGAUCGGCCACACUGGGACUGAGACACGGCCCAGACUCCUACGGGAGGCAGCAGUAGGGAAUCUUCGGCAAUGGGGGCAACCCUGACCGAGCAACGCCGCGUGAGUGAAGAAGGUUUUCGGAUCGUAAAGCUCUGUUGUAAGUCAAGAACGAGUGUGAGAGUGGAAAGUUCACACUGUGACGGUAGCUUACCAGAAAGGGACGGCUAACUACGUGCCAGCCGCCGCAGUAAUAC
rnacentral:rRNA from 1 species